rnacentral:rRNA from 2 species
GGGAAAAGAGAGAGGCCAAUUGCUAUCGGAGUCCGAUUUAGCCAUGCUAGUUGCACGAGUUCAGACUCGUAGCAUAUAGCUCAGUAACACGUGGCCAAACUACCCUACAGACCGCAAUAACCUCGGGAAACUGAGGCCAAUAGCGGAUAUAACUCUCAUGCUGGAGUGCCGAGAGUUAGAAAUGUUCCGGCGCUGUAGGAUGUGGCUGCGGCCGAUUAGGUAGAUGGUGGGGUAACGGCCCACCAUGCCGAUAAUCGGUACAGGUUGUGAGAGCAAGAGCCUGGAGACGGUAUCUGAGACAAGAUACCGGGCCCUACGGGGCGCAGCAGGCGCGAAACCUUUACACUGCACGACAGUGCGAUAGGGGGACUCCGAGUGUGAGGGCAUAUAGCCCUCGCUUUUCUGAACCGUAAGGUGGUUCAGGAACAAGGACUGGGCAAGACCGGUGCCAGCCGCCGCGGUAAUACCGGCAGUCCAAGUGAUGGCCGAUAUUAUUGGGCCUAAAGCGUCCGUAGCUUGCUGUGUAAGUCCAUUGGGAAAUCGACCAGCUCAACUGGUCGGCGUCCGGUGGAAACUACACAGCUUGGGGCCGAGAGACUCAACGGGUACGUCCGGGGUAGGAGUGAAAUCCUGUAAUCCUGGACGGACCACCAAUGGGGAAACCACGUUGAGAGACCGGACCCGACAGUGAGGGACGAAAGCCAGGGUCUCGAACCGGAUUAGAUACCCGGGUAGUCCUGGCUGUAAACAAUGCUCGCUAGGUAUGUCACGCGCCAUGAGCACGUGAUGUGCCGUAGUGAAGACGAUAGCGAGCCGCCUGGAAGUACGUCCGCAAGGAUGAACUUAAAGGAAUUGGC